UCUGAGUAAUUAUGAUAAGAAACAAACAACGUCCGAAAACCCCAGGUAAUUUUUCUUUUCAAAUUACUUGUAUUUGUAAAUAUGCACUGGUUGAUCAUUGAUUAUUCUUGCAACUCAAACCAAUAAUGAAAAUUUUAAAUAGUUUCUAUAUUAAGGCGAUUCGUCCCAGUUUCUGGCUUGGUUGAACUAGAGUGCGUUGUAUCACAACGAUUAUGUAAAAAACCUUUGCAGAUUUUGAAUGUUUAACGAAAAUAGGAUGAGAGCUCCAGCAAAUGAGCCUAAGGAAUCAUUCUAAACCAAAAAAUUGGCAAAAUUUAGAGAAAUGAAACGAGGAUUCUUUUUGGAAAAAAACCUUGCGUUUGAAAUAGUUAUCGAUCUCUAUGUUGCUGUCUGCCAUACUAUUCACUGUAUCUCAUCUCUUGUCUAAUUUCCACAAUAAUUUUUUUCACAGUUCAUCUGACGGUGCUGCUGCAAGUGGCUCAACGAACAACUACACUGGUGUAAUUCGGAAACAAAAGGCAGGAAGAACUAACAAUCUAAUCAACCAACCUUAUCAGAUCCCGGAAGAAGUACCAGGCACCUCUUCCUCCAGGGAAACCAGCAGGACAGACUAGAAAAUUUUCAUGCUAAUAAACCGUAGAACCUUUCGUCAAUGAUGAAGAUGGUAAUAUUUUUUUCUUGGAAGUUUCAAGUUUAUCUUAAUUUGUUCCUUUUUUCUGGCACUCAUAAUUUUAGUGAACUUAAUUGAUAAUGUAGAGCGUUGCCUAUGAGAAUGGAGAGGCCGUAACUACGUUCAUGUGACGUCACGCUAGUAGAUGAAACUCGGCCGCGGUUUAACAUGUGUUCAUAUGGGAGAACGCCUGAUGCAUGUUUCUUUCGUGCUGAUAUCUUCCUCGGGGGUUGAUCCGAUGCAAAAAUUCAUAAGAACCUUUUCGAAAGAAGAUGAAAUUUCACUUCAGAAAAGUAACUAACCCAUUUGUGACAGUGUCUAAUAAUUGAGGAAAUGAAAGCGAAAAACCGAAAAUUGUUACUCCUCUCAGAUUCAAACGCGCCGCUCACGCAACUUCGGCUGAUCGAGAGCCACUCUGAUUGGUCAACGCAAUGACUGCCUCACUCACCGAUGCACCGAUGACCCGGAGAUGCUUGUUGUAUUCGGUAAAUAUCUAUUUGCUUGACGUCACAAAACUGACUAGUUACGGCCUCUCCAUUCUCAUAGGCAACGUGCAGAGGUGUCUCUUACCGACGAAGACUGCUCAAUUUUGCUGAUGAGAUUACACCAGUAUUUUACCAUAUUGUAUUUAAGAUUGAUGCUGUAAGACUUAGUUAUGGGCAUUUAGACGAUGAAAUGAGUGAAGGCAAUACGCAGCAUGUUUUGUCUUCAAAAUUUCCCAAGGAAAACGAAUUACAAUCUAACUUUCAUCUGAUUUUUGUUAAAAAUAUUUGUUAAUAUCUCGUUUAGGAGCUUUGAUUUCCGAACUUCCCAUUUUGUCAAUAGUUUUCUAUGUAAGAUUUUCUACUUUAGAUCUUUUCUAAUGGCCCAUUUUAAGAGACUAGGGGGUCUGCCCCAGUGACCCCUGGCCGCUUCAGGGCCAGCGAAAUCGUCGAAAUCACCCGUUGGCGGUUAAUGAGCAAAUAAUUUUAAUUGAGUCACAAAACGAUGUUUCAAAGAAAAUUUCCUGCCAAACAAUAUUCUUAAUGACUUUCUCCUUGUUCUGAAUUUUAAUUCCUUCUUUGGAAGUUGACCUUCAGACUGUCUUACCCUCCUUCCUUACCCCGUCCAUCGGGCGUUUUAAAAAUUAUUUUAUUAUAUAGAGAAGAUACUAACCCAUGCUUUCCUUCUUUAACCAAUGAAAUAAAAUAAAACCAAAAAAGCUCAUUUCAAUUUUCUUUUAGUACUCAACAUGCACAUGUAUUGAAGUUUUACUUGCAAAACUGGUAAAAGAGCAAGCACUCCUCUCUCAGUGAAAGUGUGCUGCAUUUAUGCCAUGUUUUUCUUAGUUAUUUGUUUAUUUAUUAUUUUGUAACUUUAUUUUAAGCAAGGGAUGAAGUGAAGUACAGAAAUCAAAAUGCCCAUUUCAUUUAAGUAAAUUAUUUUGUUUUACAUUAUCCCUCACCUCAACCCAUAUUUUUUUCAGAUGUCUCAGAUGAUCGUAACUGCCUCUCUUCAAUUAUGUUUUCGCCAUUUGUCCUCAGGAUAGUUAUAUCAUCCCAUUCAGUAUGUAUCAUCUAAUUUAGUCAGCUUCUAUAAUAAUGAAUCACUGUAUUUUUUUAUGUAUUUUUAGGUUUUAAACCUAUUCUAAAACUGCUUUUUGCCAAUGAUUUUCACUAAUCGUGGCAAUCUGUACAAAAUCUGAGAGGGUAUUCCAUGCCCAAUGAAUAUAUCAUUGGUGAUAUGGGGUAAAAUAACUCUCUCUAAGUUGAUACUUAAGUUAUUUAAGAAUGAAAUUUUCCAAAAUCCAAGCGGUGCUCUUCAGUUUGUUCAGCUUGGGUCAUUUUUAUGAGUGAAAUACUGUAGAACUUUUUAUGCCAAUAAUUUUGCCAUUUUAGGAAAUUUUUUCUCUCUUGAAAUACUUUGGAACCCGAGCCAGAUAAGUUGGCAGUUGUUUAUUUCUGACUGUCUUGUGCUGUAGAUAGAUUUUCAUUUCACUGAACAGCAGCGGCGUUGCCUGCGAUCAGUCUUUGAUGACUAUUGGACGAUUGCAGCACAGUUGCUAGCAAACAGAAAGUGAACAACUUCCAACUUAUCUGAUGUGAUUUCUAUUCGUAGGUCAUUAGUCAAUUUGACAUCAAAUCAACUAUUUUCGCGCAGGAAAAUAAUCUAAGUGGGAUUGAUGAUGAACGUGUUAUCAUUCCUAUCUUAUAGCUUGAAUUGAUGUAAAUUAGCCGUUAUUCCCCUCAGACCCAUUUUAUUGUCCUGAAAAUCUGCUAGGUUGUUAGAGUGAUAUAAUCUUUUUGGUCAUUAGAUGUAAGUACAUUUUCCAUGGUUAACCCUCAGUCCCAUCAGUCGCCUACAUGUAAAGAGCAGUUUUGGCAAAUUUUCUAAGAAAAACCAGGUUUUUCUUUCCACGUUCACCGAGAGUUACUGUAUUUUUUUCAAAGUUAGUAGCAGAAGCUCUAAUAUACAGUCAAGCUGGGGACUCAUUUCAAAGACUCAUCUUUCUAGAAAUACCGUUUUGUCAUUUAGACAUUAAGUACAGUGUUUAUUAAUACUAUAUUUCGUUACCAUAAAUAUGAUAAGUCAUUCAAGUAAGUAAGCUCCACAACUUUAUCAUUCACAAAGUUUUGGAAUCAUGAUUUGAUCCAAGAAAGACUAUUUCUUACUUUUUUUAUUGUUCUUAUUAUUAAGUCCUGUAACUUUUACAAAAAGACGAUUAAAAUGAAACUUCAUGAUUAAUUUUUCUCUUUUUUAUUUUCUCCUGUUCGUUGAAACAUGGGUACCUCAGAUGUUUCCGUAACUUUACAAUCACUUUGCCUCCCCACAAAAUGCAAACAAAAGGAUUUCAUACUCUGAAGAGAUGUAAUAAUUGCUAUUGAUUUGUUUCAAGUGAUUAUUUUGCAUCGAUCAAUUAGUUUUAAGCAUACAAAUAGUCCAUGGGCAAUUCAAAUGUCUGUGAACAAUACUGGGGUGCAGAAAAUUUUUCAAUUUUUUGUGCCUGUGUGUGAAAGGCUAUAUUAUACUCCAAGGUUGAUGAAAAUAAGAAUCCUCCUCUGAGAUUUGAACAUUUAUUAACAACAACAGAAAAAUUUACAGAUAAGACUUCUUAAAUUGAAUUGCUACAUGACUUAAAUAAAUUGU
rnacentral:lncRNA from 1 species